AUUUUAUUUGUCAAAACAACAUUAUAAUCAUUCCAGUUUCAAUUAUUUUUGGUCAUUUAAUUCAAAUUACCUGUCAGCAAGUAUAUCUAACAAUACAGACAACAAAAAAGAUUCAGGAAAUGUUUUUUGACAAAUAGACUCCUUCGUGGGCAUAUUAAUACAGAACUCUGAGUAAUUCAUUUAAACUACAAUACAGAACCAUAUUUCCCACACCCCUCGGAAGCAGUGCAAAGGCUUGGGGGAGUCGGGUAAUGGAGGAGCUGAGGGAGAGGAAAGUAAUUGCUGGGAACUUGGAGGGUUGUUAGGUAUGGGUGGGAAAAGUACAGAACACGUUUUGGGGGGGGGGCGGGGAGGGAUUAUUAGGGACUUCCUCCAUGCAGAAGCCUGGCUGACCCCUGUCCUCUCCCAUUCAGUGAGGCACAUCUGUCCCUGUCCCCAUGUGUCCCUCCACCACACCUACUCCCCCCAUCCCCAUGUGGUCUAGCACCCCUUCCCCUGUGUCUUUGUGCCCCACUUAGCCACCCCUUGUCCUCCUUCCCUCGUCACCACAUGGCUCUGCAUCUCCCUCCUCUCCUCUGGCCCUGUGCCUCCACUCCCAUUCAACCCCUGCUGCAGUCUGUCCUCCCCCACUAGUCCUUAUGAGCCCCUGUCUAAUCACCUCCUCCCAGUGGCCCUGUGCUGUCCGUCUCCCCAUUACCGGUCUCCUGACCUGGUCUGACAGGCACUGUGAAGAAGUCAGGCUCUUUCUCUUCCCUAGAUAGCUAGAAGCUGCUGCUCUGUUCUAUUGCCAUACCACUCUCAGGUGGGCAAAAGGUGGAACUCAGUAACUUUCCAGCCAAAGCCUUUUUCUUUGCACAUCUCAUUAAUCAUGCACAUGGUAGUGCAGAAUUCCCCCAGGAGUAACUUGUUGAUUAGUAGGGAAGUUUCCAUGGAAAGUGAGUUGGAGAAGGGCAAGACAAACUUUUUUCAUCUUUCAAAAAAAUAAUUAGCAUUUCAGGUAUGAAACAAGGGCCUUGGCUACACUGGCACUUUACAGCGCUGCAACUUUCUCACUCAGGGGUGUGAAAAAACACCCCCGAGCGCAGCAAAUUACAGUGCUGUAAAGCGCCAGUGUAAACAGUGCCCCAGUGCUGGUAGCACGGCUCCCAGCGCUGUAAGCUAAUCCCCACGGGGAGGUGGAGUACCUUCAGCGCUGGGAGAGCUCUCUCCCAGAACUGGCGCCGUGACCACACUUGCACUUCAGAGCACUGCCACGGGAGCGCUCCCGCAGCAGCGCUUUGGAGUUUCGAGUGUAGCCAGGCCCAAAGAUGGACAGUGAUUUCAUUCUGAAUCUGCCGACUAUUGCUGUGUGUCUUUCAUACCCAGUGUUAUGAAAAUUCAAGUGUUAAUGUGCAAGAAUGAAAAAUUACAAAAUUCUACAUGUGUAUCUAACAUUGUAGAAAGUGUUUGCAGUAUUUAAGAAAUAGCAUGUUCAAUUAUGGACUGUAUCAUAAUGCAGAUGCUCAAGGGACCUAAGUACUUAAUUGUACAAUGUUAAAUUAAAAUAAUUAAAUUGAUUAUGAACUUGCUAUAAAAGGGUCACUUAUCUGAAAAGGUUCCUGGAAACAAUAAUUUAUAGCAGCAUUUAAGACAAGUACUGUAAAUAAAGCUGUUUAUGUAGUUUUUCUGUCUUCACUGGAACAUGCUUUCUUUUGCCACAGAUGUAAUUGUAAAGGUUUUAAAAAAAAACCUUCUGAUGCAACUACAGCACUUUAAGAAUCAGAUCUUGCCAAAUUGUCACUUGGCACAUAAGGUAGUAAUAAUGGAAAAAGGGAUCUGUUUUAGUACUUCAGUAUAUUAAAGCUUCCAAUUUUCCCUCAGAUAACCAUCAAAAGAAAAUUUGAACACGUCUGGCAGAUUACUUAUGGAAAUUUUGAAAUAUUCCCUAGUUUAGUAUGUUAUGUAACUUUUUUGAUCCUGUCAUUAAGACCAAGAAAUAUUAUCCAGUAUUAUACACUUUUAUAUCUUUGACCCCUGUAUCUCCUAACCCUAUUUUCUCUUUCGCUUAACGCUUGUCACAUGUUUUAAGUUAGAUUGUAAACUCUCGAGGACAGGGAGUCAGUUCCUUGCUGUGCCAACGUAUUGUUGGAUUCUAUAAGUUACAAAUUCUUGAAGAAACUGCCACCAAUUCUUUUUUUGGACUCUUGACAAUCAAAUAUUUCACUAGUCCAAAGAAAUUUCUGUUAUGUGCCAUGAGUGAGUCAUCUAAUCCCAGAGCUGUAAAAAAUCAUGGUGACCGUGCAUUAUCAUAUAAUCACUGAAGCCGACAAUGAAACAGAUUUUAGUGCUGAUAAAAUGACUUUCCACGUGUAUGAUCCAUUAUUUAUUUGCAUCUUUAAGCACAGCAGUUAGAGUUGAGAAGGCACUGUCAUUUUAUCCUCUUAAAAUAUUUUAAAACCUGUUAAAAAAAAAUUGCAGAUUGGGCCUGUACUUUUCAUCUAUGCAUUCAACCCAAAGUAAAUAUUUUUUCAGUAGGGUUUAGUAAAAUUCCAUCUGGAUAUUUCUGAGUUAUGCGAACAUGGGUGAAGAGGGAGAGAUUUCAUGAUCUUUUGUGCUCAACUCACCACUUUAUUUUAAAACAUCAAACUUGGAAUGUAUUUAAUAUACAGUGAGGAAUGUGUUCGCCAAUAAGCGUGAAUAAAUGGUUGAAAAAUCAGCUAGACUUAAUUUUUUUUAGAAGUUUUUGGAGUAUUAAAAAAAAAAGCAGCCAUUUGCCAAAGUGCCAUGAGUCAGUCCAAAUUUAAGUAUGUAUAGGAGUGCAUGGCCGUCCCUCCCUGUCAAUCUCAGAGGACGGCCAUGCCUUCUUGCUCUCGGGUCCCUCUUUAGACAAAGAUUGGUUCAGGAUUAGCAGUGUCUUAAGGCCCUGGCCCUCUAAGUGGGGCCAAGCGACAGGUAGUCUGGGGCCCUGACUGUAGGCAGGGCAGAGCCCCAAACAGUUUGAUUCCCUAGCUCUGCAAGACAAACACAGGCCUUUUGACCUAAAGAGGGGAGGCUGCCACCCCAGGGUGGCAGUAGGGGGUAGGGGCACUCAGGCCCACUCUACUCCACCAGGUCCCAGCCCAGGGCUAUAACGGGUCAGUGAGGAUCUGCCUGAAACACAGUGGUCUGGAUUGAAGCAACAAUCCAACCAGACUAUAGUCUAGUGUCCCUGGGCUACUUCCUACCUUCCUUUGGUACCUUGGUAUCCUCCCUUUCCCCGGGGUAGAUAGCCAGCAACAGUCCUCGCAGCUCCUCAGCACCUGGUUUGGCUGGCAGCUUUGGCAAGGGAUCCUCUUUGGACUCCAGGCCCAGCAACUGGUGGGAGACAUCUGUCUCCUUCAGAGGCUCCAGCCCCAUUUUGCUGCAAGGCCCAGCUUUUAUACUUCCUGUCCCACCUCUCUGCUUCCAGUGGGGUGAGCAUGACUGUUCUGGCUCUGCCCACCCGAGGUGGGUGGGGUUUCCUCCUCAUCAAUCUCGGAGGGAGGCCACACCCCCUUGCUACAGUGGGAUUGAAAGGAAAUCCAGAAUGUAUGCUGGCCUUUCUGCUCAUCCUGCAUCCUCUGUUGGGAUGAAUAUUUUAGACUGCAAUGUGUGCUGGAGGCUAAGUCCCCAGACCAAUAUUUAUUUUUAACAUUUUGUUUGCACCUUUCCAAAAUACCUGUCUACAAUCUGACAAUACAUAAUACAUUGAAGUUCUACUAUAGAUCCAACCUUGAGAGUUAUAGACAACCUCCAUUCCCGAGGUAUUCAUAACUCUGAAAUGUUUGUAACUCUGAACAAAAUGCAGCUCCGGCUCCAGCAGUUCACACUCUGGGCCAGGUUCCAGAGACAGCUAGGCAACUUCUUUUCCUGGUCUGGGCAAACUUGUCCCCUUUCCAUCUGGGGUGGGGGGAUGAAAACAGCAUGUACCCCUCCCCACCCACCCCCAAAAGCCAGGCUGAUCUUCUGUAGAGCUGUGUGAUCAUAGUGAA